rnacentral:rRNA from 1 species
GACGAACGCUGGCGGCGCGCCUAACACAUGCAAGUCGGACGAGCGAGAGAGAGCUUGCUUUCUCGAGCGAGUGGCGAACGGGUGAGUAACGCGUGAGGAACCUGCCUCAAAGAGGGGGACAACAGUUGGAAACGACUGCUAAUACCGCAUAAGCCCACGGCUCGGCAUCGAGCAGAGGGAAAAGGAGCAAUCCGCUUUGAGAUGGCCUCGCGUCCGAUUAGCUAGUUGGUGAGGUAACGGCCCACCAAGGCGACGAUCGGUAGCCGGACUGAGAGGUUGAACGGCCACAUUGGGACUGAGACACGGCCCAGACUCCUACGGGAGGCAGCAGUGGGGAAUAUUGCACAAUGGGGGAAACCCUGAUGCAGCGACGCCGCGUGGAGGAAGAAGGUCUUCGGAUUGUAAACUCCUGUUGUUGGGGAAGAUAAUGACGGUACCCAACAAGGAAGUGACGGCUAACUACGUGCCAGCAGCCGCGGUAAAACGUAGGUCACAAGCGUUGUCCGGAAUUACUGGGUGUAAAGGGAGCGCAGGCGGGAAGACAAGUUGGAAGUGAAAUCUAUGGGCUCAACCCAUAAACUGCUUUCAAAACUGUUUUUCUUGAGUAGUGCAGAGGUAGGCGGAAUUCCCGGUGUAGCGGUGGAAUGCGUAGAUAUCGGGAGGAACACCAGUGGCGAAGGCGGCCUACUGGGCACCAACUGACGCUGAGGCUCGAAAGUGUGGGUAGCAAACAGGAUUAGAUACCCUGGUAGUCCACACCGUAAA